rfam:Brassica oleracea var. oleracea cultivar TO1000 chromosome C3, whole genome shotgun sequence
AUACCUUUCUCGGCCUUUUGGCUAAGAUCAAGUGUAGUAUCUGUUCUUAUCAGUUUAAUAUCUGAUACGUGGUCCAUCGGAUCACAUGAUAUUAACUUUAUUUUUUAAGGGAAGAAACCCGUCAAAAUAGCUUGCUAUUUGGGUUUCUAAGAGUCGCCCAUGCGUUGCAGUAUUGCAUGGGAUUAGGCUUAACCCGC